rnacentral:rRNA from 1 species
UACGGAGGGAGCUAGCGUUGUUCGGAAUUACUGGGCGUAAAGCGCACGUAGGCGGCUAUUCAAGUCGGGGGGUGAAAAGCCCCGGGGGCUCAACCCCCGGAACUGCCCCUCGAAAACUAGAUAGCUAGAAUCUUGGAGAGGCGAGUGGAAUUCCGAGUGUAGAGGUGAAAAUUCGUAGAUAUUUCGGAAGAAACACCAGUGGCGAAGGCGACUCGCUGGACAAGUAUUGACGCUGAGGUGCGAAAGCGUGGGGAGCAAACAGG